rnacentral:rRNA from 1 species
AGACCCGAAACCCGGUGAUCUAGCCAUGGGCAGGUUGAAGGUUGGGUAACACUAACUGGAGGACCGAACCGACUAAUGUUGAAAAAUUAGCGGAUGACCUGUGGCUGGGGGUGAAAGGCCAAUCAAACCGGGAGAUAGCUGGUUCUCCCCGAAAGCUAUUUAGGUAGCGCCUCGUGAAUUCAUCUCCGGGGGUAGAGCACUGUUUCGGCUAGGGGGCCAUCCCGGCUUACCAACCCGAUGCAAACUGCGAAUACCGGAGAAUGUUAUCACGGGAGACACACGGCGGGUGCUAACGUCCGUCGUGAAGAGGGAAACAACCCAGACCGCCAGCUAAGGUCCCAAAGUCAUGGUUAAGUGGGAAACGAUGUGGGAAGGCCCAGACAGCCAGGAUGUUGGCUUAGAAGCAGCCAUCAUUUAAAGAAAGCGUAAUAGCUCACUGGUCGAGUCGGCCUGCGCGGAAGAUGUAACGGGGCUAAACCAUGCACCGAAGCUGCGGCAGCGAACGUAUCACUUAAAGCGAUUCAGCGGGUUACGAUUGACGGAGCGAAGCGACGUCAAAGCGUAUACAAAGUCGAGUCGGUUUAAGGAUACGUUCGUUGGGUAGGGGAGCGUUCUGUAAGCCUGCGAAGGUGGCCUGUGAGGGUUGCUGGAGGUAUCAGAAGUGCGAAUGCUGACAUAAGUAACGAUAAAGCGGGUGAAAAGCCCGCUCGCCGGAAGACCAAGGGUUCCUGUCCAACGUUAAUCGGGGCAGGGUGAGUCGACCCCUAAGGCGAGGCCGAAAGGCGUAGUCGAUGGGAAACGGGUUAAUAUUCCCGUACUUGGUGUUACUGCGAAGGGGGGACGGAGAAGGCUAUGUUGGCCGGGCGACGGUUGUCCCGGUUUAAGCGUGUAGGUGUGUGUUCCAGGUAAAUCCGGUUCACUUUAACACUGAGGCGUGACGACGAGGCACUACGGUGCUGAAG